UACGAAGGGGGCUAGCGUUGCUCGGAAUUACUGGGCGUAAAGCGCACGUAGGCGGCUUCUUAAGUCGGUGGUGAAAUCCUGGAGCUCAACUCCAGAACUGCCUUCGAUACUGGGAGCUCGAGUCCGGGAGAGGUGAGUGGAACUGCGAGUGUAGAGGUGAAAUUCGUAGAUAUUCGCAAGAACACCAGUGGCGAAGGCGGCUCACUGUCCCGGUACUGACGCUGAGGCACGAAAGCGUGGGGAGCAAACAGG
rnacentral:rRNA from 1 species